UCCGUAGGUGAACCUGCGGAAGGAUCAUUAAUAGUGCCCUCUGAUGCAAAUCAUUGGGUUAGAUCUGCUCUCUUCGCAAGAAGAGGGUUUCCAUACACACCGUGAACUGUGGCUUCGGCCAUCACAAACUGUUAGUAAUGAAUGUAAUAUCAUAACAAAAACAAAACUUUUAACAACGGAUCUCUUAGCUCUCGCAUCGAUGAAGAACGCAGCGAAAUGCGAUAAGUAAUGUGAAUUGCAGAAUUCAGUGAAUCAUCGAAUCUUUGAACGCACCUUGCGCCCUUUGGUAUUCCGAAGGGCAUGCCUGUUUGAGUGUCAUGAAACCUCACCCCACUUGGGUUUUUGCCUGAGCGGUGGUGUAUUGGGUGUUGCCUUGCUAAAGGCUCGCCUUAAAGACAUAAGCACCUUGGAUGUAAUACGUUUCAUCCUUCUGGGUGGCUGAUAACCCCACAUAUUCAUGAUCUGGCCUCAAAUCAGGUAGGGCUACCCGCUGAACUUAAGCAUAUCAAUAAGCGGAGGAAAAGAAACUAACUAGGAUUCCCUUAGUAACGGCGAGUGAACCGGGAUGAGCUCAAAUUUAAAAUCUGGCGUCUUUCAGGCGUCCGAGUUGUAAUCUAUAGAGGCGUUUUCCGCGCCGGACCGCGUCCAAGUCUCUUGGAAUGGAGUAUCAAAGAGGGUGACAAUCACGUACUUGACGCGACAACCGGUGCUCUGUGAUACGUUCUCAAUGAGUCGAGUUGUUUGGGAAUGCAGCUCUAAAUGGGUGGUAAAUUCCAUCUAAGGCUAAAUAUUGGCGAGAGACCGAUAGCGAACAAGUACCGUGAGGGAAAGAUGAAAAGCACUUUGGAAAGAGAGUUAAACAGCACGUGAAAUUGUUAAAAGGGAAACGCUUGAAGU
rnacentral:sRNA from 1 species